GAUGAACGCUGGCGGCGUGCCUAAUACAUGCAAGUCGAGCGAACGGACGAGAAGCUUGCUUCUCUGAUGUUAGCGGCGGACGGGUGAGUAACACGUGGAUAACCUACCUAUAAGACUGGGAUAACUUCGGGAAACCGGAGCUAAUACCGGAUAAUAUUUUGAACCGCAUGGUUCAAAAGUAAAAGACGGUCUUGCUGUCACUUAUAGAUGGAUCCGCGCUGCAUUAGCUAGUUGGUAAGGUAACGGCUUACCAAGGCAACGAGGCAUAGCCGACCUGAGAGGGUGAUCGGCCACACUGGAACUGAGACACGGUCCAGACUCCUACGGGAGGCAGCAGUAGGGAAUCUUCCGCAAUGGGCGAAAGCCUGACGGAGCAACGCCGCGUGAGUGAUGAAGGUCUUCGGAUCGUAAAACUCUGUUAUUAGGGAAGAACAUAUGUGUAAGUAACUGUGCACAUCUUGACGGUACCUAAUCAGAAAGCCACGGCUAACUACGUG
rnacentral:rRNA from 1 species